CACUAGAGAGCUAUCUAGCGUUGGCCUUUUAACCCAAAGAAAAUAUUCCCUUAUUUCUAGUGA
rnacentral:tRNA from 1 species